GAUGAACGCUAGCGAUAGGCUUAACACAUGCAAGUCGAACGGAGUUAUUCUGAAUGAAGUUUUCGGAUGGAUUUUGGAUUAACUUAGUGGCGAACGGGUGAGUAACACGUGAGGAACCUGCCCUGGAGUGGGGGAUAACAGUUGGAAACGACUGCUAAUACCGCAUAAGCCCACAGCACCGCAUGGUGCAGCGGGAAAAGGAGCAAUUCGCUUCAGGAUGGCCUCGCGUCCAAUUAGGUAGAUGGUGAGGUAACGGCCCACCAUGCCGACGAUUGGUAGCCGGACUGAGAGGUUGAACGGCCACAUUGGGACUGAGACACGGCCCAG
rnacentral:rRNA from 1 species